GAUGAACGCUCGCGGGAGGCCUAACACAUGCAAGCCGAGCGGUAUUGUUUCUUCGGAACUGAGAGAGCGGCGUACGGGUGCGUAACACGUGUGCAACCUGCCUUUAUCUGGGGGAUAGCCUUUCGAAAGGAAGAUUAAUACUCCAUAAUAUAUUGAACGGCAUCGUUUAAUAUUGAAAGCUCCGGCGGAUAGAGAUGGGCACGCGCAAGAUUAGCUAGUUGGUGAGGUAACGGCUCACCAAGGCGAUGAUCUUUAGGGGGCCUGAGAGGGUGAUCCCCCACACUGGUGCUGAGACACGGACCAGACUCCUACGGGAGGCAGCAGUGAGGAAUAUUGGUCAAUGGGUGCAAGCCUGAACCAGCCAUCCCGCGUGAAGGACGACUGCCCUAUGGGUUGUAAACUUCUUUUGUAUAGGGAUAAACCUACCCUCGAGAGGGUAGCUGAAGGUACUAUACGAAUAAGCACCGGCUAACUCCGUG
rnacentral:rRNA from 1 species